rnacentral:rRNA from 1 species
GACGAACGCUGGCGGCGCGCCUAACACAUGCAAGUCGAACGGAGCUGAGAGAAGCUUGCUUUUCUUAGCUUAGUGGCGAACGGGUGAGUAACGCGUGAGUAACCUGCCCUGGAGUGGGGGACAACAGUUGGAAACGACUGCUAAUACCGCAUAAGCCCACGAUCCGGCAUCGGAUUGAGGGAAAAGGAUUUAUUCGCUUCAGGAUGGACUCGCGUCCAAUUAGCUAGUUGGUGAGGUAACGGCCCACCAAGGCGACGAUUGGUAGCCGGACUGAGAGGUUGAACGGCCACAUUGGGACUGAGACACGGCCCAGACUCCUACGGGAGGCAGCAGUGGGGGAUAUUGCACAAUGGGGGAAACCCUGAUGCAGCGACGCCGCGUGGAGGAAGAAGGUUUUCAGAUUGUAAACUCCUGUCGUUAGGGACGAUAAUGACGGUACCUAACAAGAAAGCACCGGCUAACUAAGUG